AUUGAACGCUGGCGGCAUGCUUUACACAUGCAAGUCGAGCGGCAGCGCGGGGGCAACCCUGGCGGCGAGCGGCGAACGGGUGAGUAAUGCAUCGGAACGUAUCCUCGAGUGGGGGAUAACCCAGCGAAAGUUGGGCUAAUACCGCAUGAGCUCUGAGGAGGAAAGCGGGGGACCUGCGAGGGCCUCGCGCUGGAGGAGCGGCCGAUGUCCGAUUAGCUAGUUGGUGGGGUAAAGGCUUACCAAGGCGACGAUCGGUAGCUGGUCUGAGAGGAUGAUCAGCCACACUGGGACUGAGACACGGCCCAGACUCCUACGGGAGGCAGCAGUGGGGAAUUUUGGACAAUGGGGGCAACCCUGAUCCAGCCAUGCCGCGUGAGUGAAGAAGGCCUUCGGGUUGUAAAGCUCCUUCGGACGGAACGAAAUGGGCGGGACUAAUACUCCUGUCUGAUGACGUUACCGUAAGAAGAAGCACCGGCUAACUACGUG
rnacentral:rRNA from 1 species